rnacentral:lncRNA from 14 species
ACUGUACCUGUCCUGUGUACCUCAGUGUUGGCCAUGGAGUUCAACAGAAAGAGCUGUUACCUUCUUAUCUGUAAUACCAGGCAGCAAGCUGCCCACAGAGACCACAUAUCCUCCCACUCCUCCUCCUGCUCAAGUUGCUGAAAUGCUGCCCAAAACCAACACCACAAAGUCGUCAGUGAAGCACUUCCCCAUCAUGGCCUUGUUACCCACUUCAGAAAGGAUAUGUAUUGUCUCCUGGUUCAGCACUGCAGGGCGUUAGCAGCAGUAUCUUUGGUUGUUUAACUGCUUUGUUGACUGGCCAGGGUAUUCCAAGGCAUUUGGCAUCACCAUCACAGACCUCUGCUGUGGUUUGAUCCAUCUCACCCUGUGAUGGACGAAAAUGAGAUAGGGAUUAAAAAACUACUGUAUGGGAAAGAAAACCUCUC